AUCACUGUAAAGUUCCCCAGUGAAUUAAGUUUGGGCCAGGAGAUACUAAACGAUACAAAAAUGGCAGAUAUACUGCUGUUCUGGAGGUUGUGAAAAAUCUUUUUAAAAAUUAUCAUGAAGAAAAUUCAGGUCUUUAAAUGUACCUCUACUCGAUUGGUGCACUUUUUAACUAAGGAAAAGCUGUUUGUAAUCUAGGAACUGCAAUAGCUGUCACAAUUAAUACUGAGUAUGUACUCUUUUAUCAUUUUUGGCAAGGAUUGGUAUUUCAUCAUUUAGACACAUCAGGUACUUACAUUGUAGUGUCAUAUAAUUUAAAUUUGCAUUCUUUAAAAUGAUGAAAAAAUAACAAAGUACCGAUCAGAAACUAAAUUUUAGUAUAGUGGGAAGGAUUCAUCCAUUGAAUUCGAUUGAUAGAAGAUGAGACAGCAAUUUAAGAGAGUUUUGUUCAUCUUUUCCUUUCAUGGUUGACUAACAUUGACAUUUUUGAGGUCUUUUAUUUCUACAGAAUAUUCUCUGCAGUCUCCUCUUCAAAUAUGGCUAUUGGCUAUGCUUGUGAAUUUUGUGAAUAUACAAUUAUUUCAAAUUAAAUACUAACUAAAUGUG